UACGUAGGGGGCAAGCGUUGUCCGGAUUAUUGGGCGUAAAGCGCGUGUAGGCGGCCAGAUAGGUCCGCUGUGAAAACCCGAGGCUCAACCUCGGGACGUCGGCGGAAACCAUUUGGCUAGAGUCCGGAAGAGGCGAGUGGAAUUCCUGGUGUAGCGGUGAAAUGCGCAGAUAUCAGGAGGAACACCAUUGCGAAGGCAGCUCGCUGGGACGUUACUGACGCUGAGGCGCGAAGCGUGGGGAGCAAACAGG
rnacentral:rRNA from 1 species